UUCUGCUGUGUACCUUGGAGAUAGUACAUACUGCUUCUACUGAGUGUUAGUGGUGGAGGGGGUGGAUUUUUGUUCAAAACGGAACAACACACAGUUUAACUGCACCAAUCAGAUCACGGCUGACGUGAUUGUGGUCUGAGCUUCACUUUCUUGCCUCCCAGAAGCCUUCACUUCUUUGUCUAUCAAAAAUGUUGCAGAAUUAGGAUAAUUUAAACAUACAGCCCUCUUGCAAGGGAUCGUGGAAGACUUCUAAAUGUUCGGACAGGAUUUCUCAAAUUUAUCAGGACCAGCAUAUCAUUGGACUUUAACAUGGAGAGAAAAAUGACUGGAAAAGCACUGAGACGUAGACGAUGAGAGCCGGUUAAUUGGUUCAAGCCUUGUCCACACACAGAACCAGCUUCUCCCAACUGUGAACAGUGCUUUGUGCUUCCAUGUUCAGUGUUCGAUGACAUUCAGCUUGUGAUAUGUUUGGCAACUCUCUCAGGUCCUGAUGUAAUGUUUGAGUUCAGUUUCUUAACUGCAAAACCUCCUCUUCUUAAAAACUCUGUGAAACUCAUUUAGACAGACUGAAAUCAAACUCAAAACCUUAGGCUAUGAAAUGUGAACUGGAUGAAGCUUGUAAUUUUAGAGUAGAAUUUAACAAUAGUGUAAUAGAAACAAUUUCUGACCAUUACUGAUUCUGUGGAAAGAUAAAAUUUUGAAGUCCGCAGCACACUGUCAUGGACUAGGCAGUGGUGAAAACCUAAUUUAGACACAAUUAGCAGAAAUGACAGUAAAAUUCAAAACUGUGCUAAAAUACAAGCAUUAUCAAGGGCAGAGGAAGUCAGACAGUGGUACAGAGGAGAUCUGGAAGGGCAGACAUGAAAUAGAGCAAUGGAUGAACAUAGAUUCAGAUCCAGUGUAAAGGAGCCACACUAGCUCCAGACUGUGCAAUCUCUCACUGAUAACAGAACACAGCACUAAAAGCUCGAACUUGCUCCUGAGUAAUCAAAAAGGCUCAGCUCAGCUCUGAAAGAGUUUCACUACUCUCAAUAUUAGCGUCUCUUACUGGAGCUUGCACAUGGAAAAAUAUUAGAAGCAUUGGAAAUCGAGGAUCCCAUUCGACACAUUACCCUGUACCCCAUGGUUUUUUAAACUUUUGACCAGUCUGUCACGUGGGACCUUGUCAAAUGCAUUAAUAAAAUCCAUGUAGACCACAUCCACUUCACUACCACACUGAUCCUCCUUGUCAAUUGCUCCUGAACUUAAUCAAAUUUGAUACGACUUCCCUUGACGAAGCAAUGCCGACUAUCCCCGACUAGUCCAUGAAUUUUUUAAAUGACAGUUUAUCUGAUUUCUCAGGAUUAAUUCUUAAAAUUUGCCCAUCACCAAAGUUGAGAGGCCUAUAGUUGUUUGGCAUUUCCUUGGUACUCUUUUGAAAUAAUGAAACCACAUUUGGAUUUCUCCAGCCCUCCAGCACCUCACCUAAGCCUAGAGUGACAGAGUUGAGUAGCAUGGAAACAGACGCUUCAAUCCAAUUUGUCAAUGAUGACUAGGUAUUCUAAACUAAACUCAUCCCAUUUGCCAGCAAUUGGCCUCCAAGACCUGUAUAUUCAUACACCCAUUCACAUGCCUUUUAAAUGUUGUUACUGUACCAGACUCCACCACUUACUCUGGCAGUUCAUUCCAUAUACACACAACCAUCUAUGUGAAAACAUUGCCCUUCAGUUCUCUUUUAAACCAUUACCCCCUCAUCUUAACCCUAUGCCCUCUAGUUUUGGACUCUGCUACCCUGGGGUAAAGACCUUGGCUAUUCACCUGAUUCAUGCCACUCAUGAUUUUACAAACUUUCAUGAGGUCAUCCCUCAACCUCCGAUGCUGUAGGAAAAAUAGCCCCAGCUGAUUCAGCCUCUCCCUCUAGCUCAAAUCUUCCAACCCUGGAAGCAUCUUUGUGAAUCUUUUCUGAACCCUUUCAGGUCUUACAACAUCUUUCCUAUAGCAGGGAGACCAGAACUGAAGGCAAUAUUCCAAAAAUGGCCUAACCAAUAUCCUGUACAGCCACAACAUGUCCUCCCAACUAAUAUACUCAAUGCACUGACCAAUAAAGGCAAGCAUACCAUAUGCCUUCGUCACUACCCUGUAAACCUGGAUUCUACUUAGAAGGAACUAUGAAUCAGGACUCCAAGUUCUCCUUUUUAGCAAUACUCCCCAGGACAAUUAACGUUAAUUGUAUAAUUCUGACCCUGAUUUUCUUUGUCAAAAUGCAGCAUCUUAACAUUUUAUCUAAAUUGAACUCCAUUUGCUACUCCCAGGUUCACCUUCCCAUCUAAUAAAGGUCCUAUUGUACUGUGACUUAACCUUCUUCUCUGUCGACUACGUGACCAAUUUUGGUGUCGUCUGCAAG